rnacentral:misc_RNA from 1 species
CCAAUAGCGUAUAUUAAAGUUGUUGCAGUUAAAAAGCUCGUAGUUGAAUUUCGGGAUCAGUACGCUGGUCGUGCCUUCGGUAUGUACUGGUGUUACUGGUUCCUACCUUCUGACGAACCGUCAUGUCAUUAAUUUGGUGUGGCGGGAAAUCAGGACUGUUACUUUGAAAAAAUUAGAGGGUUUAAAGCAGGCUCGCGCUUGAAUACAUUAGCAUGAAAUAAUGAAAUAGGACGUUCGAUCCUAUUUUGUUGGUUUCUAGGAUUGACGUAAUGAUUAAUAGGGAUAGUUGGGGGCAUUAGUAUUCAAUUGUCAGAGGUGAAAUUCUUGGAUUUAUUGAAGACUAACUACUGCGAAAGCAUGUGCCAAGGAUGUUUUCAUUAAUCAAGAACGAAAGUUAGGGGAUCGAAGACGAUCAGAUACCGUCGUAGUCUUAACCAUAAACUAUGCCGACUAGGGAUCGGAUGAUGUUAUUUUUAAUGACUCAUUCGGCGCCUUACG